CAGCGCGGACUUCGGUCUGGCGGCGAGUGGCGAACGGGUGAGUAAUAUAUCGGAACGUGCCCAGUCGGUGGGGGAUAACGUAGCGAAAGUUACGCUAAUACCGCAUACGAUCUAUGGAUGAAAGCGGGGGACCGUAAGGCCUCGCGCGAUUGGAGCGGCCGAUAUCAGAUUAGGUAGUUGGUGGGGUAAAGGCUCACCAAGCCAACGAUCUGUAGCUGGUCUGAGAGGACGACCAGCCACACUGGAGCUGAGACACGGUCCAGACUCC
rnacentral:rRNA from 1 species